GUCUGUGUGGUGUAGUGGUUUGAGCAUUGGACUAGGACCUUGGGAGACCAGGGUCCAAAUCCCUGCUCAGCCA